rfam:Scleropages formosus scaffold6499, whole genome shotgun sequence.
CCAAAGGCUCUUAUAAGAGCCACCACGGCUUCAUAAAAGUGCAAAU